rnacentral:rRNA from 1 species
CAGCAGCCGCGGUAAUACCGGCGGCCCGAGUGGCGGUCACUAUUAUUGGGCUUAAAGCGUCCGUAGCCGGGUUGGGAAGUCCUCCGGGAAAUCUGGCCGCUUAAAGGUCAGAAUGCCGGAGGAUACUCCCAGCCUAGGGGGCGGGAGAGGCCGAGGGGAUUCCCGGAGUAGGGGUGAAAUCCUAUAAUCCCGGGAGGACCACCUGUGGCGAAGGCGCUCGGCUGGAACGCGUCCGACGGUGAGGGACGAAGGCCAGGGGAGCAAACCGGAUUAGAUACCCGGGUAGUCCUGGCUGUAAACGAUGCGGACUUUGUGUCGGACAAGCUAUGAGCUUGUCCGGUGCCGGAGGGAAACCGUUAAGUCCGCCGCCUGGGGAGUACGGCCGCAAGGCUGAAACUUAAAGGAAUUGGCGGG